UAAUAGUGUAUAUUAAAGUUGUUGCAGUUAAAAAGCUCGUAGUUGAAUGUUGGUGUCGAACGAGCGGUCAGCUUCGGCUGUACUGCUCUCUCGACUCAUUCCUUCUGUGGACUACGUCGCACUUUACUGUGUGGCGCUAGGACGCAGAUCGUUUACUGUGAAAAAAUUAGAGUGUUCAAAGCAGGCCGUACGCUUGAAUACAUUAGCAUGGAAUAAUGGAAUAGGACGUCGGGCCUAUUUUGUUGGUUCUAGGACCGUCGUAAUGAUUAAUAGGGACAGUUGGGGCCGUUUAUAUUCCGUAGUCAGAGGUGAAAUUCUUGGAUUUACGGAAGAUAAACUACUGCGAAAGCAUUCGGCAAGGAUGUUUUCGUUAA
rnacentral:rRNA from 1 species